rnacentral:misc_RNA from 1 species
CGUGACACGCGAUCGCAGAAUGGACCGCCACUCCACCGACGGCCAAGAAUCAUUCAAUAGGAGGACGCGCGGCUGGCAGCUGGCGAAUAUGUUGUGUGCCUCUCAUGCCGCAACAUGGAGACUGCAAUGCGCAAGGUUCUGAUCCGACUCACACAGGUGCUCGCACUCGCGAUGAUCGGCACGAGCUUCCUGGCGGAUGCGUCACUCGCCGAACCUAAAUGGCUCGUAAAGGAGCUAUGCGACAGAGCCGGCGGCGUAUUUGUUUUUGAUCGAAGCGGAAAAUAUAAUUGUUACUAUCCGCCGAGUUAUCUGAGCGACGGCGCCCAGUUUCAGUCAGUAAAGACUUGCACCGCCGACGGGGAGUGCGCAUGGGUCGAUUGGUGCGGAAACAGGAUUUGUCGCAGUCCCACGGUACGCGGCGACGGAACGAGACCUGCUAAACCAAAAAGGCUCGAAGGGCCAACGGUAAUGACCGCCGGAACGGUCAACGACCGUGGCAUGGGCGCGAAGAACGGCACUGCAUCGGGCGCGGUAGUGAACGGCACUCUGACCGCUGCGCCACCAAACCCGACGGCAUCGCCGACGGUGACUCAUCCCGGUGUUGCCAAUUCCGUCACGCCGAAGCCACCAUCGAUUUGGAAUGGUGGGACGCUUUGGGUUCGCAAGCCAUGAUGCG